UUAUAUUGGUCUGCCUCACAACUUGGAUAUGCUUGUGGUCAAAUAGUGCAUCCAUGUGAUAAUAUAUUGUGUUGCUUCAAUGUUUUUGACAAAAGGUAUGUCAGCUUUUCUUUGAAUUUCAUCCUGUGACCAGAUUAAAUAACAAGGGAGAGAAAUUUUAAUUAUAUUUCAUUUCUUCCAUGAGAUCCUAGUAACAGGUCUACUCUUUUGCAUGGCUUGAUGAAGGAUACACCUUAGGCUCCUUAUCUGGCAAGGUUUAGAAUGUUAAGCUACUAUUUUCCAAAAGCCUUUUGGAACUUAACCCAGUGUUGAGUUCUGUUGUUCGUGAAGUGCACUAUUCUGAAGUUUUACUUGUUAAUUUCUUUUUUGGGCAAAUUAUAUUGCUAUAUUAACCUUCAAUUGGGACAUCUGUUUUGAUCCAAUUUGUAUUGUUUUUUAUUGUGGGUGGGUUAUAUUUUGUGGUUUCUAUUUGUAUCACUUCUAGAAGCCAAUAGGAGAAAG